ensembl:lncRNA novel transcript
UGAUUCUCCUGCCUCAGCCUCCCAAGUAGCUUUGGAUUAGAGGCAUGUGCCACCACGCCCGGCUAAUUUUAUUUUUUUUUGGUAGAGACGGGGUUUCUCCAUGUUGGUCAGGCUGGUUUCGAGCUCCCGACCUCAAGUGAUCCGCUCACCUCGGCCUCCCAAAGUGCUGGGAUUACAGGAAAAAUUUUACUUUCAUGAAAAAAUUCCCAAACUUUAUGCUUCCUCUUUUUAAUUUAAAUUGUUGGUGAGCAAUGGUAUUUAAAGGACAAGACACCUUGAAUGAAUAUUACUAGUGUUUUAGCAACUCAAACAUUGGCUAAAGGGUAUUUGAAAGUUGUAUGUCUGCAUUAAUGCAACUUCAGAUUUGUGUGUGUGUGGAUUUGUUCACUGCUUAGUGAUGGUAAAGUCAAGAGUUUUCUUUAAUUACUCUCCAUGAAAAGAUUUUUUUCUCUUUUGUGUGCUUCUGGAUUCAAUUGCCUGUUUUUA